ACGAACGCUGGCGGCGUGCCUAAUACAUGCAAGUCGAGCGGACUGAUUAAGAGCUUGCUCUUAUGACGUUAGCGGCGGACGGGUGAGUAACACGUGGGCAACCUGCCCUGUAGAUCGGGAUAACACCGAGAAAUCGGUGCUAAUACCGGGUAAUAUCUGAGAUCACAUGAUCUUAGGUUAAAAGAUGGCUCCGGCUAUCACUACAGGAUGGGCCCGCGGCGCAUUAGCUAGUUGGUAAGGUAAUGGCUUACCAAGGCGACGAUGCGUAGCCGACCUGAGAGGGUGAGCGGCCACACUGGGACUGAGACACGGCCCAGACUCCUACGGGAGGCAGCAGUAGGGAAUCUUCCGCAAUGGACGAAAGUCUGACGGAGCAACGCCGCGUGAGUGAUGAAGGGUUUCGGCUCGUAAAGCUCUGUUGUUAGGGAAGAAACAGUACCGAACGAACUAGGUCGGUACCUUGACGGUACCUAACCAGAAAGCCACGGCUAACUACGUG
rnacentral:rRNA from 1 species